GUACCGUGAGGGAAAGGUGAAAAGAACCCCUGUUAGGGGAGUGAAACAGUACCUGAAACCGUAUGCCUACAAGCAGUGGGAGGGCGUUUAUCGGGGGCUUGCUCCCGAUGUUGCCUGACCGCGUGCCUUUUGCAUAAUGAGCCGGCUAGUUACUCUCCGUGGCGAGGUUAAGCGCAAGCGAGCCGAAGCGAAAGCGAGUCUUAAUAGGGCGCGUAGUCGCUGGGAGUAGACGCGAAGCGAGGUGAUCUAUCCUUGGCCAGGGUGAAGCGCGGGUAACACCGCGUGAAGGCCCGAACCAGUGUCGGUUGAAAACGACUUGGAUGAGCUGAGGAUAGGGGUGAAAGGCUAAUCAAACCUCGUGAUAGCCCGUUCUCCUCGAAAUAUCUUUAGGGAUAGCCUCGGGAGGUUGGCGCUGGAGGUAGGGAUCUGGAUGGACUAGGGAGCUUACCAGCUUACUGAAUCCAAUCAAACUUCGAAUGCCAGUGACUCAUAUCCCGGGAGUCAGACAGUGGGGGCUAAGCUUCAUUGUCGAGAGGGAAACAGCCCAGACUACCGGCUAAGGUCCCCAAAUCUGUGCUAAGUGGGAAAGGAUCUGGAGACGCCGAGACAACCAGGAGGUUGGCUUAGAAGCAGCCAUCCUUUAAAGAAAGCGUAAUAGCUCACUGGUCAAGCGGCUCUGGGCCGACAAUACAACGGGGCUCAAGCACAGUACCGAAGCCGUAGAUUGGAAUAGGCCCUUCGGGGCCUAACAGUGGUAGAGGAGCGUUCUCUAUGCCGUGAAGUCAGACCGUGAGGACUGGUGGAGCGUAGAGAAGUGACCCUGCCGGCAUAAGUAGCGAUAAGAGAGGUGAGAAUCCUCUCCGCCGUAAGCCUAAGGUUUCCUGAGGAAGGUUCGUCCGCUCAGGGUUAGUCGGGUCCUAACGCGAGGCCGAAAGGCGUAGCGGAUGGACAUCAGGUCAACAUUCCUGAACUACCUGAAAGACGUUAUUACGAUGGGGGGACGCAGGAGGCUAGUCCAGCCUACGAUUGGAAGUGUAGGUUCAGACAUGUAGGGGGAUCCGCCAGGAAAAUCCGGUGGAUCGCAUUCCCUGAGGUGUCAUGGCGAGGUCCGUCAGGGCCGCAAAGUGGGUCACGCCACGCUGCCAAGAAAAGCCUCUAAGGAGUUUUCCGGGUACCCGUACCGCAAACCGACACAGGUAGGCGAGGAGAAAAUCCUCAGGCGCGAGUGUGAACCCUCGUUUAGGAACUCGGCAAACUCACCCCGUAACUUCGGAAGAAGGGGUGCUCCAUGCUCGUCAGGCGGCAUGCCCGUCGAAGCGAGUAGGAGUUGCAGUGAAAAGGCCCAGGCGACUGUUUACUAAAAACACAGGACUCUGCGAAGUCGAAAACGACGUAUAGGGUCUGACGCCUGCCCGGUGCCGGAAGGUUAAAGGGAGAGGUCAACCGUAAGGUGAAGCCUUGAGCUGAAGCCCCGGUAAACGGCGGCCGUAACUAUAACGGUCCUAAGGUAGCGAAAUUCCUUGUCGGGUAAGUUCCGACCUGCACGAAUGGCGUAACGACUUCCGCGCUGUCUCGACCAGAGACUCGGCGAAAUUGACAUGGGGGUGAAGAUGCCCUCUACCCGCGGCCAGACGGAAAGACCCUGUGAACC
rnacentral:rRNA from 1 species